rnacentral:rRNA from 1 species
GACGAACGCUGGCGGCGUGCUUAACACAUGCAAGUCGAACGGAAAGGCCCUGCUUUUGUGGGGUGCUCGAGUGGCGAACGGGUGAGUAACACGUGAGUAACCUGCCCUUGACUGUGGGAUAACUUCAUGAAACUGGGGCUAAUACCGGAUAGGAGCUCCUGCUGCAUGGUGGGGGUUGGAAAGUUUCGGCGGUUGGGGAUGGACUCGCGGCUUAUCAGCUUGUUGGUGGGGUAGUGGCUUACCAAGGCUUUGACGGGUAGCCGGCCUGAGAGGGUGACCGGCCACAUUGGGACUGAGAUACGGCCCAGACUCCUACGGGAGGCAGAAGUGGGGAAUAUUGCACAAUGGGCGGAAGCCUGAUGCAGCAAAGCCGCGUGCGGGAUGACGGCAUUCGGGUUGUAAACCGAUUUCGCCUGUGACGAAGCGUGAGUGACGGUAAUGGGUAAAGAAACACCGGCUAACUACGUG